UGAGCAACCUGCCCUGGACUUUGGGAUAACCCUCGGAAACGGGGGCUAACACCGGAUAUUACUGAUUCUCGCAUGGGGGUUGGUGGAAAGUUUUUCGGUCUGGGAUGGGCUCGCGGCCUAUCAGCUUGUUGGUGGGGCGAUGGCCUACCAAGGCGACGACGGGUAGCCGGCCUGAGAGGGCGACCGGCCACACUGGGACUGAGACACGGCCCAGACUCCUACGGGAGCA
rnacentral:rRNA from 1 species